UAAGUAAAAAUUUUUUUUGAAAAAUUUGCAAACGUUUCUCAGAAUAUGUGGUAACAACGCAUACGGCUUAAAGUACAUGGUUUUUGAAGCAAAGUAUUGAAAAAAGGAAAAUUUCUUUUCAAAACUCAAUAAGUUAUUUUGAAAAUCGAAGGAAAUGAUUAAAACUGAAAUAAUCGUCGUGUACACGCAGAAAUAUUAGAAAGACAAGAGAAGAAGCAAAAAAAAAAAAUAAAAAUAAAAAAUAAAACUUGAAUUUGAUUGUGCAAGUGUUGUCAGUAAAUAAAAGUUAAAAAAAAAAAAAAAAAAAAAA